GAUCCUGGCUCAGGAUGAACGCUGGCGGCGUGCCUAAUACAUGCAAGUAGAACGCUGAAGCUUGGUGCUUGCACCGAGCGGAAGAGUUGCGAACGGGUGAGUAACGCGUAGGUAACCUGCCUCUUAGGCGGGGGGAUAACUAUUGGAAACGAUAGCUAAUACCGCAUAAAAGUCGAUAUCGCAUGAUGUUGAUUUGAAAGGUGCAAUUGCAUCACUAAGAGAUGG
rnacentral:rRNA from 1 species